GGGCUAAGUGUACAGUUGGUACUGUAGAAGACCUGCAAAGUCUUUCCAAAUUAGGUUCGAUUCCUUCUUAGCUCU
rnacentral:tRNA from 1 species